rnacentral:rRNA from 1 species
AACGCGAAGAACCUUACCAAGGUUUGACAUGGCCGGAAAACUCAUGGAGACAUGGGGUCCUUCGGGGCCGGCCACAGGUGGUGCAUGGCUGUCGUCAGCUCGUGUCGUGAGAUGUUGGGUUAAGUCCCGCAACGAGCGCAACCCUCGUCCCAUGUUGCCAGCGGGUAGUGCCGGGGACUCAUGGGAGACUGCCGGGGUCAACUCGGAGGAAGGUGGGGAUGACGUCAAGUCAUCAUGCCCCUUAUGCCUUGGGCUGCAAACAUGCUACAAUGGCCGGUACAGAGCGCUGCGAGCCCGUGAGGGUGAGCGAAUCGCGGAAAGCCGGCCUCAGUUCGGAUCGGGGUCUGCAACUCGGCCCCGUGAAGCCGGAGUCGCUAGUAAUCGCGGAUCAGCAACGCCGCGGUGAAUACGUUCCCGGGCCUUGUACACACCGUAGUAC